CUGAGGCUGGAGAGGGGAGCCGGGGGAGCCGGCCAGGACCAGGUUGGGCUGGCAGUCCCAAAACUGAGAAGGAGAAGGGCAGCUCCUGGCGAAACUGGCCAGGCGAGGCCAAGGCACGGCCUCAGGAGCAGGAGUCUGUGCAGCCCUCAGGCCCAGCAAGGCCACAGAGCUUGCCCCAGGGCAAGGGCCGCAGCCGCCGGAGCCGCAACAAGCAGGAGAAGCCAGCCUCCUCCUUGGACGAUGUGUUCCUGCCCAAGGACAUGGACGGGGUGGAGAUGGAUGAGACUGACCGAGAGGUGGAGUACUUUAAGAGUAUUUUUGGCCAAGCGCGGUGGCUCAUGCUUCUCAUCCUAGCACUUUGGGAGGCCGAGGCGGGUGGAUCACCUGAGAUCAGGAGUUCAAGACCAGCCUGGCCAAGUUGGUGAAACCCCGUCUCUACU
rnacentral:lncRNA from 10 species